UGUGAAAGUAAUGCAACUAGUAGCCAGUAAUUUACUGUGAAUUUACAGUCAAAUAAUUUACAGUGUGUCAUAUCAAAAAUAUUGUU